rnacentral:rRNA from 1 species
GACGAACGCUGGCGGCGUGCUUAACACAUGCAAGUCGAACGGAAAGGCCCUGCUUUUGUGGGGUGCUCGAGUGGCGAACGGGUGAGUAACACGUGAGUAACCUGCCCUUGACUUUGGGAUAACUUCAGGAAACUGGGGCUAAUACCGGAUAGGAGCUCCUGCUGCAUGGUGGGGGUUGGAAAGUUUCGGCGGUUGGGGAUGGACUCGCGGCUUAUCAGCUUGUUGGUGGGGUAGUGGCUUACCAAGGCUUUGACGGGUAGCCGGCCUGAGAGGGUGACCGGCCACAUUGGGACUGAGAUACGGCCCAGACUCCUACGGGAGGCAGCAGUGGGGAAUAUUGCACAAUGGGCGGAAGCCUGAUGCAGCAACGCCGCGUGCGGGAUGACGGCCUUCGGGUUGUAAACCGCUUUCGCCUGUGACGAAGCGUGAGUGACGGUAAUGGGUAAAGAAGCACCGGCUAACUACGUGCCAGCAGCCGCGGUGAUACGUAGGGUGCGAGCGUUGUCCGGAUUUAUUGGGCGUAAAGGGCUCGUAGGUGGUUGAUCGCGUCGGAAGUGUAAUCUUGGGGCUUAACCCUGAGCGUGCUUUCGAUACGGGUUGACUUGAGGAAGGUAGGGGAGAAUGGAAUUCCUGGUGGAGCGGUGGAAUGCGCAGAUAUCAGGAGGAACACCAGUGGCGAAGGCGGUUCUCUGGGCCUUUCCUGACGCUGAGGAGCGAAAGCGUGGGGAGCGAACAGGCUUAGAUACCCUGGUAGUCCACGCUGUAAACGGUGGGUACUAGGUGUGGGGUCCAUUCCACGGGUUCCGUGCCGUAGCUAGCGCUUUAAGUACCCCGCCUGGGGAGUACGGCCGCAAGGCUAAAACUCAAAGGAAUUGACGGGGCCCCGCACAAGCGGCGGAGCAUGCGGAUUAAUUCGAUGCAACGCGUAGAACCUUACCUGGGUUUGACAUGGAUCGGGAGUGCUCAGAGAUGGGUGUGCCUCUUUUGGGGUCGGUUCACAGGUGGUGCAUGCCUGUCGUCAGCUCGUGUCGUGAGAUGUUGGGUUAAGUCCCGCAACGAGCGCAACCCUUGUUCACUGUUGCCAGCACGUUAUGGUGGGGACUCAGUGGAGACCGCCGGGGUCAACUCGGAGGAAGGUGGGGAUGACGUCAAGUCCUCAUGCCCCUUAUGUCCAGGGCUUCACGCAUGCUACAAUGGCUGGUACAGAGAGUGGCGAGCCUGUGAGGGUGAGCGAAUCUCGGAAAGCCGGUCUCAGUUCGGAUUGGGGUCUGCAACUCGACCUCAUGAAGUCGGAGUCGCUAGUAAUCGCAGAUCAGCAACGCUGCGGUGAAUACGUUCCCGGG